rnacentral:rRNA from 1 species
GGGGAAUCUUGCGCAAUGGCCUAACGGCUGACGCAGCGACGCCGCGUGAGGGAUGACGCUCUUCGGAGUGUAAACCUCUUUUGCCCGGGACGAAUUGCCAACUUUUGUUGGCUUGACGGUACCGGGUGAAUAAGCACCGGCUAACUCCGUGCCAGCAGCCGCGGUAAUACGGAGGGUGCAAGCGUUGUCCGGAUUUAUUGGGUUUAAAGGGUGCGUAGGCGGUCUUUUAAGUCAGUGGUGAAAGCCAACAGCUCAACUGUUGAAUUGCCAUUGAUACUGGAAGACUUGAGUAUAGGCGAGGUAGGCGGAAUUGACGGUGUAGCGGUGAAAUGCAUAGAUAUCGUCAAGAACACCGAUUGCGAAGGCAGCUUACUAGACUAUAACUGGCGCUGAGGCACGAAAGUGCGGGGAUCAAAC